CAGUUCGCCGAUGCUGUCUUCGGAUCUGGGCAAUCGGGGUCACAAGGAAGUCUGACUGCAGAAAAUUUGGUCUCCUAUUGUCAGCAAGCGUGUAACUUUGCAGUGCCUUCCUCCAAAGCAAGGCGUCCAGAGGCGUCAGGUCGCAAAGGAGCACCCCACGGCCACAAGGAGCGCCACGCCAGCCGGUCGGCACUUCCGCAGCACAACGCUGUUCAGCACACUCGGCAGGCCGGAUCAUCCUCCAGCGGCAUCUGCCCCACCUUCUGCCAGAACUUAGACUCGUACAUUCCCACCUUCGGAAGCUCGUCUCAGAGCUCAUCCACGGGCAGCUCAGCAGGUUCCACUGGUGAGUCCGGAACCAGUUCACAAACUUCCAGUGACAGCCAAGGCGGAUCUACAACUGGUUCGGAAGAAUCUUCCACUUCUACGUAGAGUUCCAGUGGUACACCAGGAAAAUCUUCAGAUCACUUUAAUCCGUCGUAAUAUAUCUGAACCAUCUCGCUUUCAGAUCGGAAGCUUUGGACAGUGAAACAGGCCACGUAAAUCUAAAAACUAGUGUAGUUCUCUUUCUUCAGCUCGGCUCGUCUGCACUCCUAUCUAUCUUAUAAUAUAGGUUCUUAUUGACAAUGAUCAGAGUGCACAUACAAUGGAAACCCUACGCAGACCUAAGUAAAACUAACCACGUUGAUUUUAUUUCUCAAGCGUACUGUUAGCAGUCACAGAGGAACUAUAAAAUAUUAUUAAUUGUAGCAUCUAAAUA